rnacentral:rRNA from 1 species
UACGUAGGGGGCGAGCGUUGUCCGGAGUUACUGGGCGUAAAGGGCGCGCAGGCGGUCUGGUAAGUUUGGAGUGACAGUGCUCGGCUUAACUGAGCAAGGCCUUCGAAAACUGCUAGACUUGAGCACUCAAGAGGGACAUAGAAUUCCGGGUGGAGUGGUGAAAUGCGUAGAUAUCCGGAGGAAUACCAAAGGCGAAGGCAGUGUCCUGGGGAGUGUCUGACGCUCAGGCGCGAAAGCGUGGGGAGCGAACAGG